UAUCGGAACGUGCCCAAUCGUGGGGGAGUAACGUAGAGAAAUUUACGCUAAUACCGCAUACGAUCUAAGGAUGAAAGCGGGGGAUCGCAAGACCUCGCGCGAUUGGAGCGGCUGAUAUCAGAUUAGCUUGUUGGUGAGGUAAAAGCUCACCAAGGCGACGAUCUGUAGCUGGUUUGAGAGAACGACCAGCCACACUGGGACUGAGACACGGCCCAG
rnacentral:rRNA from 1 species